GAACGCAGCGAAAUGCGAUACGUAAUGUGAAUUGCAGAAUUCAGUGAAUCAUCGAAUCUUUGAACGCAUAUUGCGCUCUUUGGUAUUCCGAAGAGCAUGCUUGUUUGAGUAUCAGUAAACACCUCAAAGCUUUUGAUUUUUUUUCAAAUGUUUUGGACUUGAGCAAUCCCAACACCAAUCUUUUUUAGAUCGGCGGCGGGUUGCUUGAAAUGCAGGUGCAGCUGGACAUUCUCCUGAGCUAAAAGCAUAUUUAUUUAGUCCCGUCAAACGGAUUAUUACUUUUGCUGCAGCUAAUAUAAAGGGAGUUUGACCAUUUUGGCUGACUGAUGCAGGAUUUCACAAGGGUCGGCAACGAUUCUUGUAAAACUCGAUCUCAAAUCAAGUAAGACUACCCGCUGAACUUAAGCAUAUCAAUAAGCGGAGGAA
rnacentral:rRNA from 1 species